rnacentral:rRNA from 1 species
UACGGGGGGAGCAAGCGUUGUUCGGAUUUACUGGGCGUAAAGGGCGCGUAGGCGGUCAGCACAAGUCAGUGGUGAAAUCUCCGGGCUUAACCCGGAAACUGCCAUUGAUACUAUUUGUCUUGAAUACUUUGGAGGUAAGCGGAAUAUGUCAUGUAGCGGUGAAAUGCUUAGAUAUGACAUAGAACACCAAUUGCGCAGGCAGCUUACUACACAGUAAUUGACACUGAGGCACGAAAGCGUGGGGAUCAAACAGG